UUCCUUACAGAAUUCCUUUUAAAGGCACGAAGAGAGACAGGUAUAAAUUUAUAUUUUCGCUAUGGACUUGUUCUGCAGCAACAGGUGACUAAGGAGCGAUUGCAAACCUCUGUCACUUAACGCCAGAUCACUUGCCGUCAACCUUCGCUAUUAUACAGCAGUUGUGAUGUAUCUUGUACAGGUUGCCGUAAUUACCAGUGUGGCUAUCACACUUAAAGCUGCUACUCUUCAAGAUCUCCGGGACGCAUUAAAUACAAAUAAUCAGAAACUAUGGACCCGUUAUCGUUCUUUCGAAACCAGCACUAAGAGGUCAAAACAUACGUGCAUAUAUGCUGAAGUACGAAGAGCAGGACAGGAUCAAUACCUGUAUUUGAAGCAUUACGAAGUAGCAGGUACUUGGAAAAGCCAUCUGUUUUACGCAAAUUUAGUCGAAGCGCAAAGGCAGACACCAGGUCCCGUAAUGCGGGUAAGCAAACGGCAAGGACACAAAGGAAGAGACUACAUCCUGUAUUUCUGGGACAGUAUAGAACAUUGUGCUGUAUUUCUUCUGCCAAAGAAGGGUAGAACUGAAUGUGAAAUGCACGUCUGGGGAGACCACAUUCGAGCACACGUGCCUAAGUGCCAAAUGGCAUAUAAGAGGAUGUGUACAGAAGAAUGGCCCGUCUACACCCAGCAAUGUGGACAUCCCUGAUCGAAAAAAAAGUUGAAAAAAUAAA